AAGAAGAAGAAGAAGAAGCAAUGGGUGGAGGAGGAAAUGGCACUUGGAGGAAUGCGUGCCAGGAGGUCACCAAUACCAAGCCUUUGUUCCUUAUGGUUUAUGCUGCCAUCCUCGUCGGAAUCGUCUUCUCUUCCUUUUAUGUUUUCUCCACUCUCUACUCCGCCAACAAGUCCUCUUCUCUUUCCUCUGGUGCUUGGCUUUCCUCUCCUCCCUCUUCUCUCUCUCAUGUUGAUCAAUCACUCAACUCUUCUCAUCAAGCAACAGUAGCCGUAGGUUCCAUUUCAACAACGCCACGGCCUCCCAGCAGCAUUCAGGUAAAACCCAUUUGGGAAGUUCCUCCACGCAAUUCGAAAAUGCCCCCUAUGAAGAAAUUUAUACUCACAAAACAACUGGUAGAGCAGAGGGUCAAGGAUAAUGUCAUUAUAGUCACCUUCGGUAAUUAUGCUUUUAUGGAUUUUAUCCUUACUUGG
rnacentral:misc_RNA from 1 species